AUGAUACAUAUUCACUUAACUCAAACUAUCAAAAUAUUUGAAUGGGUGAUUAGGGGGAAUAGAUGGAAUUAAUAUUGUUGUUAAGAGCAACCCCUAAAAAGAAAAGAAAAGAAAAGAACCGAAAAGAAUUGAAAGGAAAGAAUAAUAUAUGUCAUAUUUCUAUUGCUUGACAUGAUUGCUGGGGCAUAUAUUAUGUAGAGACUUCAUACGACUUAGUAUGUUAUUACAAUUUGUAAAUUCCAUUUUGAUGAUUUGGUUUGGAUGAUCUAGAUGCUCAGCAUUAGCAAUGCAAAGCUCAUGUACACUCAAAGUUGCAUUUCGCUAAUUUGUAGAAUUAACCAGGACAGUAGAUUUCAGGGGGCUUUAGCAUUGGAAUCAGUACCAAUAUGCUUUCUAAUUGUGUAGGAAGGCUUUGCUAUCUUAAUGGGAACUUUCCUGAUAUAGAAUAUGCAAUACACCCUUGAUAUACUUGGCAUUCUCUAGAUGUUACCUUUUAUGGGAUUAGUAGCAGUGAACAUCCUCUAUGCCUCACAAUUUUUUUAUCCACUUGUGUUUUUUGAACUUCCACGCAACAAUUUGGCUUAGAAAUGUAGUUACUUUUUGCUUGUUUAGCUAAUAUAGUUUUCAUGUGAAGAAUGGAAAUGAUAUAAACUGAAAAAUCAAUGUGCACUUCAUUUUUCUUUUGAUGGGCUUUACUCAUUUUUUAUUUGAAUUCAUUAAAUAUUGAGCUUAAUGUCCUAGCUAUGACCAUUUCCACAUAUGGAUUUCAAGAUCAAGCUGUUAAUAGUUGGUGGAAAAAGACUAAAACUUACGAUUUGGGACACAGCUGAACAAGAGAGGUUUGGAACAUUGAUAAGCUCUUACUAUAGAGGUGCACAUGGAAUUAUCCUCCAUAAGCUAUUUACAAAUGCAGAAAAUUUGCAUUCUAGUGUCAUUUAUGUGGUAGUUACACUUUUGACAGUAUAUUUUUGACAGUAUUUCACAUGGAAUAGUUCUUUGAUUUUUUGGGGGUAACACAUGAAUUCUGUUGAAAAUUUCUGCUCGGUCACAUGCUUCUUCCUACCAUUUCAAUCAAUUUAAAUAGUUUUAAUUA